UAAAGAGACAGAUGUAAGCUUUUACAGCUUUCACUUCUGGACUGAAUUAACCAUCUCUUCUCCAUGAGGAAUAACUUUUGUUGGAUUACUACCCUCAGCAGUGAAACCUGAUGUGACCCACUGACACUGGCAGGAUUUUAAAACUUUGAAGUCUAAAGCCAUCUAAAAAACGUCACCUUUGACUUCCAUUUCGUUCCUGGCUACUCAAGACGAGAUCACAUCAGUACAGACAGCUGUCAGGACAGCUAUGCAUUAGCUCACUGAACAUAUUUGGCAGCCACCCGAAAGUCAUUUCCACCUACAGACCUGCCUCUCCGGGGAACCUGAAAACUGAGCAGCAUGGAGGUGCUGAGCGGCCCCUGGGCUGACUUGGCUCUGCUCCUUCGACAGACCAUCGUGCAGACGGACAGAGAGACAGACAGCUUUCUUCCUCUCUGGCUGUUUGGCCUGCUGCUGUUCCUGUCUGUCUCUCUGCUUCUGCUACAACUGAUUAUCUACCUCAGCUGGAAGCUCACACAGGUUGAGGCUGAUCUGUCGGGGUUUCCACAGGAUCGAAGUGCCAUCUACAGGCAGAUACACAGCAGUACACACCAGAGGAGAAGGACUGUUGGGUUACACUCUCACACCUGACAGGAGAUACACUGUACCAGCAGAACAGACACUUAAAAACAACCAAGAUGACACUUUUCUGCUAGUUACAAGCAGUCAUGUCAGCCAACACUGGUAUCUCUGCAGAGCAAUGUGACCAGCAGGGACCUGUGAGGGAAACGUCUCAGGCAAAAUGAAGGUGCCUUAAGAGGAUAAACAUUGGCGCCUGUAAAUAAAAUCCUUAGCUGUCAUAGAAGAUUUGUCAAAAUGUUUUGUUUUGUUUAAAACCCUUGGGGAAAUCUGGAAGAAAACUGUCUCCAACCCGUUCUGACAUCAUUAUGACGCUUCAGGCAUCUUAGUAUUUAUAUUUUUCCCUCUUGUUAAGUUUGAGAAACUAUCGACCUUGAAUUACUUUUUGCAUAACUGUACCUUUUUAUUACCAGACUUCCUGAGCCAAAACAUACAGGACUUUGGUUUUUACUAAUAAAUCAGCAAAUAAAUGAAUGACGAAAUGAUUUCAGAGUAUAACAAUCCUUUAUUUAAACAGUGUUACACAGGGGAGGAGUGGCUGUGUGUGGAGAGAGACACAAGACAAUUAAGCCGCUAGAUAGAAAAACCCUACCGGUGAUCAUUGGUUGGCUAAAGAGGGAACGAUGAGGCAGCUGUGGGUGGUUUUCCCAAAAAAUCACACAACUUUUUGUUGGGAGUUUAAAUACAAAACGGUGCUGGUAUGAUUUACCAAUGUCUCAUCUGUGGUAAAAAGCCUAAGAUGUAACUGUUAAAAACGUAGGCCAAUUAUUCUAAGGUCUGAUGGCAGUAUAUUGUUAGUUUUUCCACAUGACAUUGCCCUCUAUAACGUUACCAUGUUAAGAUCCCUGACUGUUUUAAAAUCAGCUGGCGUAGAAUCACAAUCAAUUGAUUACAGAGCGUUUCAUUGCUAUUCUGUUGCUACGGCAACCAUUUUGGUCCCUGUGUACUUCCUGUCAGCUACU